rnacentral:misc_RNA from 1 species
GAUGGAAGAACGCAGCGAAAUGCGAUAAGUAAUGUGAAUUGCAGAAUUCAGUGAAUCAUCGAAUCUUUGAACGCACAUUGCGCCCGCCAGUAUUCUGGCGGGCAUGCCUGUUCGAGCGUCAUUUCAACCAUCAAGCCCCCGGCUUGUGUUGGGGACCUGCGGCUGCCGCAGGCCCUGAAAACCAGUGGCGGGCUCGCUAGUCACUCCGAGCGUAGUAAUACAUCUCGCUCAGGGCGUGCUGCGGGUUCCGGCCGUUAAAAAAGCCUUAUUUACCCAAGGUUGACCUCGGAUCAGGUAGGAAGACCCGCUGAACUUAAGCAUAUCAAUAAGCGGAGGA